UACGGAGGGGGCUAGCGUUGUUCGGAAUUACUGGGCGUAAAGCGCACGUAGGCGGCUUUGCAAGUCAGAGGUGAAAGCCCGGGGCUCAACCCCGGAAUUGCCUUUGAGACUGCAUCGCUAGAACGUCGGAGAGGUAAGUGGAAUUCCGAGUGUAGAGGUGAAAUUCGUAGAUACUCGGAAGAACACCAGUGGCGAAGGCGACUUACUGGACGACUGUUGACGCUGAGGUGCGAAAGCGUGGGGAGCAAACAGG
rnacentral:rRNA from 1 species